rnacentral:rRNA from 1 species
CCUACGGGUGGCUGCAGUGAGGAAUAUUGGUCAAUGGACGCGAGCCUGAACCAGCCAAGUAGCGUGAAGGAUGACUGCCCUACGGGUUGUAAACUUCUUUUAUAAAGGAAUAAAGUGAGGCACGUGUGCCUUUUUGUAUGUACUUUAUGAAUAAGGAUCGGCUAACUCCGUGCCAGCAGCCGCGGUAAUACGGAGGAUCCGAGCGUUAUCCGGAUUUAUUGGGUUUAAAGGGAGCGUAGAUGGGUUGUUAAGUCAGUUGUGAAAGUUUGCGGCUCAACAGUAAAAUUGCAAUUGAUACUGGCAGUCUGGAGUACAGUUGAGGUAGGCGGAAUUCGUGGUGUAGCGGUGAAAUGCUUAGAUAUCACGAAGAACUCCGAUUGCGAAGGCAGCUUACUAAACUUCCACUGACAUUGAUGCUCGAAAGUGUGGGGAUCAAACAGGAUUAGAUACCCCGGUAGUC